AAUAAUUAACCUUUAACAGUAUUUCUGAGCUAAACACUAGCUAAGCACUUCAUACUUAUCAACUCUAAGAAACUUAUGCCUACGACCAGGUUCAAAGAUAUUCUCCUAUAUUUAACUCAUUUAAUGCUCAGCAACCUUAUUAAAUAUUAGCGUCAUUCUAAUUUUGUAGAUAAGGAAACUGAGGCACAGAAAGAAUCGUACUCCACACAGCCUAGAUUCACUCAGAAAUUGCUCUGGAAGCUUCCGCCGUAUGGUGCUAACAUACCUUCCUUGCAAACUGGCCGAGAUAAUGACAUAACCCUUGUGCAGAGAAUUGAACCCAGGGCCUACUGCAUAGUGGAGAAGUAUUCUUCCAUAAAGCUACACCACCAGUCUGAUGUAUUUGUAUAUUCUACACAGAGGUUACAAUAAAUUGCUUGUCUCUUA